UACGAAGGGGGCUAGCGUUGCUCGGAAUCACUGGGCGUAAAGGGCGCGUAGGCGGUCGGCCAAGUCUGGGGGUGAAAUCUUUCGGCUCAACCGGAAAAGUGCCCCCGAUACUGGCCGUCUAGAGGGAGGUAGGGGCAUGUGGAACUUCCGGUGGAGCGGUGGAAAUGCGUAGAUAUCGAGAGGAACACCAGUGGCGAAGGCGAGUCUCUAGACAACUCCUGACACUGAGG
rnacentral:rRNA from 1 species